GUAACGCGUGGGUAACCUGCCUCAUACAGGGGGAGUAACAGUUAGAAAUGACUGCUAAUACCGCAUAAGCGCACAGUGCUGCAUGGCACAGUGUGAAAAACUACCGGUGGUAUGAGAUGGACCCGCGUCUGAUUAGCUAGUUGGUGGGGUAACGGCCUACCAAGGCGACGAUCAGUAGCCGGCCUGAGAGGGUGAACGGCCACAUUGGGACUGAGACACGGCCCAAACUCCUACGGGAGGCAGCAUG
rnacentral:rRNA from 1 species